GGGCUAAGGCGGUAGUAUGGUACUACACACGGAUUGCAAAUCUGUUGAUUUAGGGUUCGAUCCCCUCUUAACCCU
rnacentral:tRNA from 1 species